rnacentral:rRNA from 1 species
AUGCCAGCUUCGCUCCACCACCCGAAACAAGAGUGUCUGGUGGUCAACACGCGCCGUCAACACCAGACCUUCCAUCGAUCACAGGCUUUUCUCUUCCAUCGCCGCCCGCAACCACAGUUUCCGGUGGUGGUGCGCCCGCCCCGCCAACGUCAGAAGGCCACACCAAUACCAGUUUCGCUCCACCGCCCGGAACAAGAGUGUCUGGUGGUCAACACACACCGCCAGCACCAGACCUUCCCCCGAUCACGGGUUUUUCUCUUCCACCGCCGCCCGCAACCAGAGUUUCCGGUGGUGGUGUGCGCGUCCCUCCAACGUCAGACGGCCACACCAAUGCCAGCUUCACUCCACCACCCGGAACAACAGUGUCUGGUGGUCAACACACGCCGCCAGCGCCAGACCUUCCCCCGAUCACGGGUUUUUCUCUUUCACCUCCACCCACAACUAGAGUUUCCAGUAGUGGUGCAAGCGCGUCGCGGACACCAGAGGGCCACACGAAUGCCAGCUGCCCUCCACCGUCUGCAACCAGAGCAUCCGGUGGUGCACACACGCCGCCGGCACCACACCUUUCCUCGAUCACAGGCUUUUCUCUUUCACCGCCACCCACAGCCGGAGUUUCCGGUGGUGGUGCAAGUGCGCCGCCGACUCCAGAGGGCCACAUGA